rnacentral:rRNA from 1 species
AGGAUCAUUAACGUAUUGUUGGGGGGUUAGAUGCUGGCCUGCGAAGGCACCUGCUCGCCCCUGUACUCUAAAUCCACAUACACCUGUGCACCUUCAGCGAGCGCCUCCCGUUCGGAGCCGUCCGGCGUUCGUGCGUCGGACCGGGGCGCUCCCUGCCUUAAUACACCACAGCCUGUCUUAUAACGCAUGUGAUGGCCCCACGGGGCAGAAGCCUAUACAACUUUCAACAACGGAUCUCUUGGCUUUCGCAUCGAUGAAGAACGCCGCGAAAGUGCGAAACGUAAUGUGAAUUGCAGAAUUCAGUGAAUCAUCGAAUCUUUGAACGCACCUUGCGCUCCUUGGUAUUCCGAGGAGCAUGCCUGUUUGAGUGUCGUGAACUCCCUCAACCUUGCUUCUUUGUUGAAGUGGGUUUGGAUUUGGACGCCUGCGGCCCUCUGGCGCCGCUCGUCUUUAAAUGCAUUAGCUGGUCCCUCUGGUCGGUCCGACGGCGGUGUGAUAACAAACGCUUUCGUUGACCGUGGCGCCGCUUGUCGCCGGCCCGGGCCGCUUACAAUCGUCUUCGGACAAGCCUUUUCAUGUCAUCAGACCUCAGAUCAGGUAGGACUACCCGCUGAACUUAAGCAUAUCAAUAAGCGGAGGAAAAGAAACUAACAAGGAUUCCCCUAGUAACGGCGAGUGAAGCGGGAAGAGCUCAAAUUUGUAAUCUGGCGGCCUCUGGCCGUCCGAGUUGUAGUCUGGAGAAGCGUUUUCCGCGUCGGACCGUGUACAAGUCCCUUGGAACAGGGCGUCGUAGAGGGUGAGAAUCCCGUCUUUGACACGGACUGCCGAUGCUUUGCGAUGCGCUCUCGAAGAGUCGAGUUGUUUGGGAAUGCAGCUCAAAACGGGUGGUAAAUUCCAUCUAAAGCUAAAUAUUGGCGAAAGACCGAUAGCGAACAAGUACCGUGAGGGAAAGAUGAAAAGCACUUUGGAAAGAGAGUUAAACAGUACGUGAAAUUGUUGAAAGGGAAACGCUUGAAGUCAGUCGCGUCUUCCGGGACUCAGCCUUGCUUCUGCUUGGCGUACUUCCUGGGGUGACGGGCCAGCAUCGAUUUUGGCCGUCGGAGAAAGGCCUUGGGAACGUGGCACCUUCGGGUGUGUUAUAGCCCUCGGUCGUAUGCGACGGUUGGGAUCGAGGACCGCAGCACGCCUUUUUGGCCGGGGUUCGCCCACGUA